GCCAGGCACAGUGGCGCAUGCCUAUACUAGGGAGGCUGAGGUGGGAGGAUCGUUUGAGCCCAGGAGUUCUGGGCUGUAGCGCACUAUGCUGAUCAGAUGUCUGCAUAUUUCAGUAUCAACAUGGUGACCUCCCAGGAGAGGGGGACCACCAGGUUGCCUAAGGAGGGGUGAACAGGCCCAGGUCAGAAACAGAGUAGGUCAAAACUUCUGUGCUGAUCAGUACUGGGAUUGCGCCUGUGAAUAGCCGCUGCACUCCAGCCUGGGCAACAUAGCGAGACCCCAUCUCA
rnacentral:SRP_RNA from 1 species